AAAAAACCCAACCCGGUGAAAAGAAACUACACUCUAUGAGGAAGACACCAUCACCAUGGGUGCAAGCAGGAAGAAUGCUAAAACCAUCACUGUCUUGCCCUCCAGAGCUCGGAUCUCUGGCUUUCCUGACCUUCCCCUGGGGAAGCUGAGGGGCCUGCUGGUCACAGGACCCCUGGUGACCAUGUUCAGGUCUGGCCAGAAAGAAGAUGGGCAUGGAAACUGGGGCAGUGUCAAGCGGAAGCUACUUCGUCCAGGAGGGAUGAAAGGGACAGAGGCUGCUUCUCUUGGAGAAAAGAAGACUUGAGGCUGCCCACUGCCCACCACACUAUGGCCAAUGAAUUCUCGCCAGGUGGAAUGGACUCUAGCCAGCUUGGAGAAGCCUGUGUGCAAAGCCAUUCUCAACUUCCCAAGGUACCUCCAUCGCCCCCACCCCGAGUGUUUCUGGGUUGCCUAAACAUUUUGAAUGCUCGUGGCAUCAAACCCUGGUCCCGCCUUGUCCCCACUGCCUGAUACACAACACCUGCGGAUGCCACUCUGUGUUUUUGGUGAUUGACAGCCUGCAGAGUGUGUUUCCACACCUGACUGACACACAGUGCCCGGGGCCUCCACAGCCUGAUGCCCUCCCUGUGUGGGGUGCUCCCUGUCGUCACUGGACAGGUGGAGUGGGACAUGUAUCCCGGGUCCUGGAGAAGCCUGGCUCUCUUGUUGCCUUCCUCCUGGGAGUCCCCUUCCCACGGCAGCCUCUGACACAGCUGGACCCGGCUACAUGGCCCACCCUGGUCUAGGGGCCUUUCUUUUGUGUUCUUUUUUCUCCUUCUUUCUUUGCAGGUGCAUGUGUCUGAAUUCCGAGAAGUUUCCUAUGUGUCGGGGUCUAGGCUCCCUCCCCACCCUGGGCCCCUCCCGGGUGUCUGGUUUGACGUGGCCUCCCAGGACUGACACCGAUGUUCCAGGCAGGGGAAACAAUGGCAGAGGCCUCGUUGGCCGUACAGACGCCGGCAUCCCCACCCACAGUGGGUUUUGAUGGACUCUGGGCGCUAGUGAGGUGUCUGUCUGUGUUCCUCACUGUAGCACAUGGAACCGAAAACUGCUCUGAAAAAUAGUCUAUGUAAAAAAGAAAAGGUUCUGCAGCCUAUGUGCAUGUCGCUCCUCAGCCUGCAGCUGCGUCCGCACGCAGUGGAAGCAGCAAUGUCUUUGUCUGGGUUAUUAAUCAGGAAGAGAAGUCUUCUUCUAUGAGCUACAGAAACAUACCUUUUAUGAACUACAGAAAUUGGCCAGGCACCUCUGCUGACACCUGGACUAGCUGUCUACACCACCACACACCACAUCUGGGCAAGAGCCCUUGGUGUGCUGCCAUAAGGCUGCUGGCUGUGAGCCCACAGAGGAGCCGGGUGGAUGGUACUGGGGCACAAGAGCAUCGAGGGUCCCUUUUGUCCAGAUGCUGCAGACCACUGUGGGCCACGUGUCCUACAGCUGACACUGCCUCGGCCCCGUUCUCCCAGGUCCUCACUCUAACUCAGCCCUCAGG
rnacentral:lncRNA from 1 species